CCUACGGGGGGCAGCAGUGGGGAAUAUUGGGCAAUGGGAGAAAUCCUGACCCAGCGACGCCGCGUGAACGAAGACGGCCUUCGGGUUGUAAAGUUCUUUUAUGUGGGAAGAAGGAAGUGACGGUACCACAUGAAUAAGCCCCGGCUAACUACGUGCCAGCAGCCGCGGUAAUACGUAGGGGGCGAGCGUUGUCCGGAAUUACUGGGCGUAAAGGGCACGCAGGCUGUGCUUCAAGUCAGCUGUAAAAGGAUGCGGCUUAACCGUGUUAUGCAGUUGAGACUGAGGUGCUGGAGUACCGGAGAGGCAAGUGGAAUUCCCAGUGUAGCGGUGAAAUGCGUAGAUAUUGGGAAGAACAUCGGUGGCGAAGGCGACUUGCUGGACGGUAACUGACGCUGAGGUGCGAAAGCCAGGGUAGCGAACGGGAUUAGAUACCCGGGUAGUC
rnacentral:rRNA from 1 species